AUACGUAGGGGGCGAGCGUUGUCCGGAAUGAUUGGGCGUAAAGGGCGCGUAGGCGGCCCGGUAAGUCUGGAGUGAAAGUCCUGCUUUUAAGGUGGGAAUUGCUUUGGAUACUGUCGGGCUUGAGUGCAGGAGAGGUAAGUGGAAUUCCCAGUGUAGCGGUGAAAUGCGUAGAGAUUGGGAGGAACACCAGUGGCGAAGGCGACUUACUGGACUGUAACUGACGCUGAGGCGCGAAAGUGUGGGGAGCAAACAGGAUUAGAUACCCUGGUAGUCCACACUGUAAACGAUGAAUGCUAGGUGUAGGGUGUAUCGACCCCUUCUGUGCCGCAGUUAACACAAUAAGCAUUCCGCCUGGGGAGUACGGCCGCAAGGUUGAAACUCAAAUGAAUUGACGGGG
rnacentral:rRNA from 1 species